GUGUAAUUGUGAAUUUGUGAUCUUGUAAUUGCUGGCAGAUUAUGUGUGUAAUUGUGAAUUUGUGAUCUUGUAAUUGCUGGCAGAUUAUGUGUGUAAUUGUGAAUUUGUGUAAUUGAUUUUUACUGGUAUCUGGGCUAAUGGGCGGCACGGCACGUUUAAGCCCACCGGGCUGGAAGCCCGGCACGGCACGUUUAGAGGGUCCCCGUGCCGUGCUUGGGCUCUAAGUCCGGCCCGUGGCGGGCACGGCACAGCUCGUUACUGUCUGCGUGCCGGGCCAGCCCGGGCACUAUUCGUGCCGGGCCUAAUCGUGCCCGGGCCGGGUUAGCCCGGCACGCCCAUUUGGACAUGUAUAUAUAUGGCUCUAUGCAGAUUGCAGACCAGUGCGCAAGAGCAUGGGCCAAACCGGCCAAGCAUGGCAUUGGGCUGCAGGCACUCGUCUCCACAGCAACCUCCCCCGCCAGUCCGCAACGGCCAAUGCCACCGUCAUCUUCUCCGCUAUCAACAUCAUCACAUGCAGGAGCUAUGGCAAAGGGAAGGGGUGCGGUGCGGGGGUGUCGUCUGGGUGGCAACUGGCAAAGAGAGGAAAGGAAGGGUGCGAGCAUGCUUUAUCGUGAACCACAGUGCUGUUGUGCCUCUGUGGGCAUCGGCAUCGGCAUCGGCACUUUGAUGGUGGAGGUGGAGGGCAAGUUAUGGCUCACUGAAUAUGGAUAGUAUGGUCGCAAUGGGCCUGCUGCCAAGUCCUUGCAGGUUGCAGCUGCUCUCGCUAGUCCCGCUCUCGCCCAGACACACACAACUCUGACAGCAUGCAUGCCUUGCACAACUUGAGGCAGAACCUCAAACUGCUGCGAAAGCAAAAUAUUCUUCUUGUCUUGAGGAAUAAUAGCAUGCGACUUCAGAUCGUCUUCAUGCUGUUUCGGG
rnacentral:misc_RNA from 1 species